GACGAACGCUGGCGGCGUGCUUAACACAUGCAAGUCGAACGGAAAGGCCCUGCUUUUGUGGGGUGCUCGAGUGGCGAACGGGUGAGUAACACGUGAGUAACCUGCCCUUGACUUUGGGAUAACUUCAGGAAACUGGGGCUAAUACCGGAUAGGAGCUCCUGCUGCAUGGUGGGGGUUGGAAAGUUUCGGCGGUUGGGGAUGGACUCGCGGCUUAUCAGCUUGUUGGUGGGGUAGUGGCUUACCAAGGCUUUGACGGGUAGCCGGCCUGAGAGGGUGACCGGCCACAUUGGGAAUGAGAUACGGCCCAGACUCCUACGGGAGGCAGCAGUGGGGAAUAUUGCACAAUGGGCGGAAGCCUGAUGCAGCAACGCCGCGUGCGGGAUGACGGCCUUCGGGUUGUAAACCGCUGUCGCCUGUGACGAAGCGUGAGUGACGGUAAUGGGUAAAGAAGCACCGGCUAACUACGU
rnacentral:rRNA from 1 species